CAAAAUACUUUCAAUUAUUUUUAAUAAAUGAUAUACAUUAGUAAAAAUACAUAAUUAAAGGUUCAACAAUAUCAUUCAAGAUAAAUUAGAAUACUAAAAUGUUGUAAUAUUCAAAACGUAUCGAUAUUUUUUUUACAAGAGAAAGAAUAAUUGCAUACAGAUCCAGGGUAUAUAACUCUUUUACAACACGAAUAAAAAAGUUUUAAAACAAACUAGCUAAUGUGAGACUGGAUAGUAAUGGUAACCAUCAGUGGAUAGUGUUUGAACUGAAAAACAUUUCCUUUGACAGGGUAAGUUUCUGCGAGAAACAACAACCUGCUUCUUUAAAACCUUAAGAUUAUUAGUGCAAUGGAUAUACCAAAAGAUUACAAACCGUUCAAAACAUAAGCCUUAUUUAGCAGUUAUUAGUUUGAAGCACAACACUAAGAAAAUACUACCAACCUCAUAAGCUGCACAACUUCUUAGUAUCUGAUAACUAGGCGUUUCCAUGUCUGAAGUCUUGUAAAUCCUUAAAUUCGUAACUGCCAAAAAAUUAUAUUCUCAUAUUUCUCGGCUCAAGAAAAGAGCAUAAGCUAAACCAGUUCAACAUCACACCCGUUUCAUAAUAACAAACAGUCAUAGAGUAAAAUAUUAUUAUUCUAAAUAAAUUUUAGAAGUCCUACAAAUUUUAACAAUAAUUUUAUAAACACUCCAUCCUUCACUAGGUAGUAUAACCAAUUGACUUUGUUUUGAGAAAGAGUGAAGUAUCAUACAUACCUCAUGGUUAUUACACUUGUUUGUUUCUACAUUGAUGCCCAUAACACAAGUACCUGAAAAGACAAAUUUAAGUUUACUUAAAAAGAAUGAACCUCAUCACCAUACUGCAACAUAAAUUUGGAGCAUAUGCUUAAAAAUGAUUGUGCUAAUGCAUCCCAUAAUUUCACCCUUAUAAGCUGUUGGAGUAUUUAUACUGUAUAUUUGAGAAGUUUUUCCACCAUCUCAGCAAAUUCAUUGGAUAGCGUCUAGAAGUAUUUAGAAGUUAUGGAUUUAUCCUAAUUGUUGCAUUGAAGUUUUAGAAAUAAUGGAAUGGUAAUAUCUUAACAAGCAACUCUUCUUCACCUAUUUGCAUCAUUGCUAGCUGCCACAAGAAGUACAAAAAUAUAUACAAAGCGAAGAUGCAUUUCCGUAUGACCAUUUAUUUAGUAAGUUGCACAUCAAAUGAAUGCAUAUACUCACCCUAUAUCCACUCAACUGAUCAUCAAGUUUGGGUGAAUACAGUGCCUCACCAACUCAUUUGCUCUCUGCAAUUAUUCACAUAGAUAUUAACCACUACAGCUGUGAAUAGUACCUACUCUAAUAGAAAAAAAUUAUUAGUAUAGUUUUUUGUGUGUGCAUAUAACUGCAAACUGGGUACAACCCAAAAAACCAUUUAAGAUCCCCAAUCUGCAAAUGGAGGUAAUGAAGAAUAAAAAAUAUACAAGAAAUUAUAGAAAAAAGGCUUGUUCUGGCUUAGUACUACAGAAAUCAAGAUUCAACUACUAAUUCCCGUUUCAUACAACAAACUAUUUUAAGCAAAUAGCAAAUAUAGGAAUUAAAAUAUACGAAAAAGGUCCUCCAUUCAUAAUAAUUGGAGAGAUCCCUAAUUUAUUGCUUUGAAUUUGGCAAUCUAUUAUUCUUUUAAAUUCUUGGCACUUAUCAAUAUAACUACUUUUAAAUUCUUGGCACUUAUCAAUAUAACUAAAGUCGGGAUUGCCAUUUCACCGCCAUAUUGUAAUGAUGAAACUAAAAAGAACUAUUCCCGAUCAAGAAUCCUAAGAAAGCAAUGAUAACAACCGAAAUAAUUAAGAAGAGAAACAAAAGAAAGACUAGGGAUACCUUGACGAUUUAUGUUUUCCAAGAGCAAGAGGACGAGGGUUUUAGGGAUAAUUGGUUUGAGCGGGGAAGAUUGGAGGAGAUGUGCGGAUAGCUUUUGGGGGGAAUGGGGUUGGAGUCUAAAUAUUUUAGGUCUUAAGGAACUGAGAGAUUUGGGCUUUAAUCCUUUUCUUCUUUUUUUGUUUAUCUUUUUUAUUUGUAGCUUUGUCUUUAACUUUUCAUAUACUUUUGCACACAAAUGAG
rnacentral:lncRNA from 1 species